CCUACGGGAGGCAGCAGUGGGGAAUUUUGGACAAUGGGCGCAAGCCUGAUCCAGCAAUGCCGCGUGCAGGAUGAAGGCCUUCGGGUUGUAAACUGCUUUUGUACGGAACGAAACGGUCUGCUUUAAUACAGUGGGCUAAUGACGGUACCGUAAGAAUAAGCACCGGCUAACUACGUGCCAGCAGCCGCGGUAAUACGUAGGGUGCGAGCGUUAAUCGGAAUUACUGGGCGUAAAGCGUGCGCAGGCGGUUAUAUAAGACAGAUGUGAAAUCCCCGGGCUCAACCUGGGACCUGCAUUUGUGACUGUAUAGCUAGAGUACGGUAGAGGGGGAUGGAAUUCCGCGUGUAGCAGUGAAAUGCGUAGAUAUGCGGAGGAACACCGAUGGCGAAGGCAAUCCCCUGGACCUGUACUGACGCUCAUGCACGAAAGCGUAGGGGAGCAAACAGGAUUAGAUACCCUGGUAGUCCACGCCCUAAACGAUAGUCAACUGGUUGUUGGGUCUUCACUGACUCAGUAGCGAAGCUAACGCGUGAAGUUGACCGCCUGGGGAGUACGGCCGCAAGGUUGAAACGUCAAAGGAAUUGACGG
rnacentral:rRNA from 1 species